rnacentral:rRNA from 1 species
GAUGAACGCUGGCGGCGUGCCUAAUACAUGCAAGUCGAGCGAACCACUUCGGUGGUGAGCGGCGAACGGGUGAGUAACACGUAGGUGAUCUGCCCAUCAGACGGGGACAACGAUUGGAAACGAUCGCUAAUACCGGAUAGGACGAAAGUUUAAAGGUGCUUCUGGCACCGCUGAUGGAUGAGCCUGCGGCGCAUUAGCUAGUUGGUAGGGUAAAGGCCUACCAAGGCGACGAUGCGUAGCCGACCUGAGAGGGUGAACGGCCACACUGGGACUGAGACACGGCCCAGACUCCUACGGGAGGCAGCAGUAGGGAAUCUUCGGCAAUGGGCGAAAGCCUGACCGAGCAACGCCGCGUGAAUGAUGAAGGACUUCGGGUUGUAAAAUUCUGUUAUAAGGGAAGAACGACUUUAGUAGGAAAUGGCUAGAGUGUGACGGUACCUUAUGAGAAAGCCACGGCUAACUACGUGCCAGCAGCCGCCGUAACAC